rnacentral:rRNA from 1 species
UUACGAGGUCAGGACACUGUGAGGAUUGACAGAUUGAAAGCUCUUUCUUGAUUCAGUGGGUGGUGGUGCAUGGCCGUUCUUAGUUGGUGGAGUGAUUUGUCUGGUUAAUUCCGUUAACGAACGAGACCUUAACCUGCUAAAUAGUCACGCGAACCGGUCCGCAAGGGCUCAAAGUUCGCGGCUCGACUUCUUAGAGGGACUAUUCGCACCCGCCAGCGAAUGGAAGUUUGAGGCAAUAACAGGUCUGUGAUGCCCUUAGAUGUUCUCGGCCGCACGCGCGUUACACUGACGGAGUCAACGAGCGUUUUUCCUUGCCCGAUAGGGCCGGGUAACCUCCUGAAACUCCGUCGUGAUGGGGAUAGAUCAUUGCAAUUAUUGAUCUUGAACGAGGAAUUCCUAGUAAGCGCGAGUCAUCAACUCGCGCUGAUUACGUCCCUGCCCUUUGUACACACCGCCCGUCGCUCCUACCGAUUGAACGGUCCGGCGAGAACUCCGGAUGGUC